UUAAUCCAAAGAUAAGAAACGAUUAAAGGGAUUGAUGUAAGAAUCAAAAAAUCGAAAGCACCAGAUCUCUAUACUUUCGAUAGCAUAGUAGCUCUACUAUAUAUAUAUAUUCGAGCUUUUCGAGCUUUUCGAGCCUAAUUCUAAAUGGUUAAAAAUUGUAUGGUUUGGAUGAUUGCGGUCUCCUCUAAGAUUAAAUAUUACUCUUAGGAUUGAGUGGUCCCUACAAGGUAAUAAUAAUAUUAAUCCAAAGAUAAGAAACGAUUAAAGGGAUUGAUGUAAGAAUCAAAAAAUCGAAAGCACCAGAUCUCUAUACUUUCGAUAGCAUAGUAGCUCUACUAUAUAUAUAUAUUCGAGCUUUUCGAGCUUUUCGAGCCUAAUUCUAAAUGGUUAAAAAUUGUAUGGUUUGGAUGAUUGCGGUCUCCUCUAAGAUUAAAUAUUACUCUUAGGAUUGAGUGGUCCCUACAAGGUAAUAAUAAUAUUAAUCCAAAGAUAAGAAACGAUUAAAGGGAUUGAUGUAAGAAUCAAAAAAUCGAAAGCACCAGAUCUCUAUACUUUCGAUAGCAUAGUAGCUCUACUAUAUAUAUAUAUUCGAGCUUUUCGAGCUUUUCGAGCCUAAUUCGAACGAGCUGAGUAAUACUUAAGCUCGGCUUGAAAUGAAUUUCGAGCCUUUUUUUUGUUCAAGCUCGGCUCAUUUAAUUUCAAGUCGAGCUUGAGCGAGCCAAAUAUCGAGUCGAACGCGAGUCGAACGCGAGCCGGCUCGCUCAUUUG
rnacentral:lncRNA from 1 species